rnacentral:rRNA from 1 species
ACGACGCUGGCGGCGUGGAUUAGGCAUGCAAGUCGAACGGUAGGAUACCUUCGGGUAUCUGAGAGUGGCGAACGGGUGAGUAACACGUAGGUGAUCUACCCUCAAGAUUGGGACAACCCAGGGAAACUUGGGCUAAUACCGGAUGAAAGCAGCAGUGAUGUUGUUUGAGAGGUGGCGUAAGCUGCCGUUUGGGGAUGAGCCUGCGCUCUAUUAGUUAGUUGGCGGGUAAAGGCCCACCAAGGCGAUGAUAGAUAGGCGGCCUUAACGGGUGGUCGCCCACACUGGGAUUGAGAUACGGCCCAGACUCCUACGGGAGGCAGCAGUCGAGAAUAGUCUACAAUGGCCGAAAGGCUGAUAGUGCGACGCCGCGUGAACGAAGAAGCCCUUCGGGGUGUAAAGUUCUUUUAUAUGUGAGCAGUGCUUUCUAUGUGAACAGCAUGGGGAGAGAGAUAUUAGCAUAUGAAUAAGCAACGGCUAACUCCGUG